rnacentral:rRNA from 1 species
UACGGAGGGUGCGAGCGUUGUCCGGAAUCAUUGGGCGUAAAGGGCGCGUAGGUGGCGGGACAAGCGUGCGGUGAAAGCUCGGGGCUCAACCCCGAGUCGGCCGUGCGAACUGUUUUGCUGGAGCACUGUAGAGGCAGGUGGAAUUCCGGGUGUAGCGGUGGAAUGCGUAGAGAUCCGGAAGAACACCGGUGGCGAAGGCGGCCUGCUGGGCAGUGGCUGACGCUGAGGCGCGACAGCGGUGGGGAGCAAACAGG